rnacentral:tRNA from 1 species
GGGGCUAUGGCUCAGUAGUAGAGCACUUGCCUUGCAUGCAUGAGGUACUGGGUUUGAUCCUGAGCACCA